rnacentral:rRNA from 1 species
CCCAGACUCCUACGGGAGGCAGCAGUGGGGAAUAUUGCACAAUGGGGGGAACCCUGAUGCAGCGACGCCGCGUGGGUGAAGGAGCGUUUCGGCGCGUAAAGCCCUAUCGGCAGGGAAGAAGGAGGACGGUACCUGACUAAGAAGCCCCGGCUAACUACGUGCCAGCAGCCGCGGUAAUACGUAGGGGGCAAGCGUUAUCCGGAUUUACUGGGUGUAAAGGGGGCGCAGACGGCAGCGCAAGCCAGGAGUGAAAGCCCGGGGCCCAACCCCGGGACUGCUCUUGGAACUGCGCGGCUGGAGUGCAGGAGGGGCAGGCGGAAUUCCUGGUGUAGCGGUGAAAUGCGUAGAUAUCAGGAGGAACACCGGUGGCGAAGGCGGCCUGCUGGACUGCAACUGACGUUGAGGCCCGAAAGCGUGGGGAGCAAACAGGAUUAGAUACCCUUGUAA